UGAUGAUGAUGAUGAUGAUCAUGAUCAUGAUGAUGAUGAUGAUCAUGAUUAUGAUCAUUAUCAUGAUUAUCAUCAUUAUCAUGAUUAUCAUCAUUA
rnacentral:pre_miRNA from 1 species